UACGGGGGGAGCAAGCGUUGUUCGGAUUUACUGGGCGUAAAGCGCACGUAGGCGGCUUGGUAUGUCGGGUGUGAAAUCCCCGGGCUCAACCUGGGAACUGCAUCCGAAACUGCCUUGCUAGAGUAUGGGAGAGGGAAGUGGAAUUUCCGGUGUAGCGGUGAAAUGCGUAGAUAUCGGAAGGAACAUCAGUGGCGAAGGCGACUUCCUGGACCAAUACUGACGCUCAGGUGCGAAAGCGUGGGGAGCAAACAGG
rnacentral:rRNA from 1 species